rnacentral:rRNA from 1 species
AUUGAACGCUGGCGGCAGGCCUAACACAUGCAAGUCGAGCGAGCGGCGGACGGGUGGGUAAUGUCUGGGACACUGCCUGAUGGAGGGGGAUAACUACUGGAAACGGUAGCUAAUACCGCAUACCUUCAGAUGGGCCGAGAUGGGCUUAGCUAGUGGGUGGGGUAAAGGCUCACCAAGGCGACGAUCCCUAGCUGGUCUGAGAGGAUGACCAGCCACACUGGAACGGAGACACGGUCCAGACUCCUACGGGAGGCAGCAGUGGGGAAUAUUGCACAAUGGGCGCAAGCCUGAUGCAGCCAUGCCGCGUGUGUGAAGAAGGCCUUCGGGUUGUAAAGCACUUUCAGCGAGGAGGCGUUACUCGCAGAAGAAGCACCGGCUAACUCCGUGCCAGCAGCCGCGGUAAUUC